AGGACGAACGCUGGCGGCGUGCCUAACACAUGCAAGUCGAACGGGGAUUUGUUUCGGCAGAAUCCUAGUGGCGAACGGGUGAGUAACGCGUAGGCAACCUGCCCUCCGGCCGGGGACAACACUCCGAAAGGGGUGCUAAUACCGGAUACGAAGUCUGUGCCGCAUGGUACGGAUUUGAAAGAUGGCCUCUAUUUAUAAGCUAUCGCCGGGGGAUGGGCCUGCGUCCGAUUAGCUGGUUGGUGGGGUAACGGCCUACCAAGGCGACGAUCGGUAGCCGGUCUGAGAGGAUGAACGGCCACAUUGGGACUGAGACACGGCCCAGACUCCUACGGGAGGCAGCAGUGGGGAAUCUUCCGCAAUGGGCGCAAGCCUGACGGAGCAACGCCGCGUGAGUGAGGAAGUUCUUCGGAACGUAAAGCUCUGUUGUUCCUGACGAACCUCCCUUCUAUCAACAACGGAAGGGACUGACGGUAGGGAACGAGGAAGCCACGGCUAACUACGUGCCAGCAGCGGC
rnacentral:rRNA from 1 species